UACGGAGGGGGCGAGCGUUAUUCGGAAUUAUUGGGCGUAAAGGGCGCGUAGGCGGCUCUUUAAGUCAAAGGUGAAAUCCCUCGGCUCAACUGAGGAACUGCCUUUGAAAACUGAGGAGCUUGAGUCCGGGAGGGGGUAGCGGAAUUCCCAGUGGUAGCCGGUGAAAGUGCGUAGGAUAAUUUGGGAGGAACACCAGUGGCGAAGGGCGGACUCACCUGGACCGGGAACUAGCGACGGCCUUGGAACGCUGA
rnacentral:rRNA from 1 species